rnacentral:rRNA from 1 species
UACAGAGGGUGCGAGCGUUAAUCGGAAUUACUGGGCGUAAAGCGUGCGUAGACGGUAGCGUAAGUCAGAUGUGGAAGCCCCGGGCUCAACCUGGGAACUGCAUUUGAGACUGCUCUGCUCGGGUGCGGAAGAGGGAAGCGGAAUUUCCGGUGUAGCGGUGAAAUGCGUAGAUAUCGGAAGGAACACCAGUGGCGAAAGCGGCUUCCUGGUCCGACACCGACGUUCAGGCACGAAAGCGUGGGGAGCAAACAGG